CUAGCGUUGCUCGGAAUCACUGGGCGUAAAGCGCACGUAGGCGGAUUGCUAAGUCAGGGGUGAAAUCCUGGAGCUCAACUCCAGAACUGCCUUUGAUACUGGCGACCUUGAGUCCGGGAGAGGUGAGUGGAACUGCGAGUGUAGAGGUGAAAUUCGUAGAUAUUCGCAAGAACACCAGUGGCGAAGGCGGCUCACUGGCCCGGUACUGACGCUGAGGUGCGAAAGCGUGUGGAGCAAACAGG
rnacentral:rRNA from 1 species